rnacentral:rRNA from 1 species
GACGAACGCUGGCGGCGUGCUUAACACAUGCAAGUCGAACGAAGUGGCGAACGGGUGAGUAACGAGUAAUCAACCUGCCCUUCAGCGGGGGACAACAGUUGGACACGAAUGCUAAUACCGCAUAAUGAAGGUGGGGAUUGCGUUUGAUGAGCAAGUUGGAGGGGUAACGGCCCACAAAGGCGAUGAUCAGUAGCCGGUCUGAGAGGAUGAACGGCCACAUUGGGACGGAGACACGGCCCAGACUCCUACGGGAGGCAGCAGUGGGGAAGCUUCCGCAAUGGACGAAAGUCUGACGGAGCAACGCCGCGUGAGUGAUGACGGCCUUCGGGUUGUAAAGCUCUGUUAAUCGGGACGCGGUACCGGAAUAGAAAGCCACGGCUAACUACGUGCCAGCAGCCGCGGUAAUAC